rnacentral:rRNA from 1 species
UACGUAGGGAGCAAGCGUUGUCCGGAAUCAUUGGGCGUAAAGCGCGCGUAGGCGGCCCUGUAAGUCCGUUGUGAAAGUCAAAGGCUCAACCUUUGAAAGCCGAUGGAUACUGCAGGGCUAGAGUACGGAAGAGGCGAGUGGAAUUCCUGGUGUAGCGGUGGAAUGCGCAGAUAUCAGGAGGAACACCAAUAGCGAAGGCAGCUCGCUGGGACGUUACUGACACUGAGGUGCGAAAGC